rnacentral:rRNA from 1 species
GUGGAUUAGAUACCCUGGUAGUCCACGCCGUAAACGUUGGGAACUAGGUGUGGGUCUCAUUCCACGAGAUCCGUGCCGCAGCUAACGCAUUAAGUUCCCCGCCUGGGGAGUACGGCCGCAAGGCUAAAACUCAAAGGAAUUGACGGGGGCCCGCACAAGCGGCGGAGCAUGUGGAUUAAUUCGAUGCAACGCGAAGAACCUUACCAAGGCUUGACAUACACCGGAAACAUUCAGAGAUGGGUGCCCCGUAAGGUCGGUGUACAGGUGGUGCACGGUUGUCGACAGCU